UUUCAAAAAUGACAAUAGGGU
rnacentral:piRNA from 1 species